AGGUACUUAGUCUAAUCCAAGACAGCUAACUUCGGCUUAGUAAACCAUGAAGCAAAUUCAUGAGUACCUC
rnacentral:tRNA from 1 species